AUGUCUAACCAAGGAUUUUCUUAGUGAAGUAGUAAAACUGAACUCUGUGGAAUUUUGAGAAAUAAUUCGCGGCCAGCCACUGACACGUAUAGAGGAGCUUUGUGCAAGCACCAAUUAUCAAAAGGCUGUGCUUUCAUCCACACCAUUAAUUUCUGAAGGCAGAAGAGAGCAUGAUGAUGAAAGUGUCUUACAAGAUUAACAUCUCCAGUAUCACAGCUUUAAAGAAGUAGGACUGGAAUCUGAAACCAUAACUGCCUGAUCCAAAACUUAUAAAUAUUCAUAUAGAGCUGACUACUGGUGAGGCUAAAGCAUCUGAGGAGACAAAGGGAGGGCUUAUAGAAGGAGACCUUCGGAAUUCCUGCCAUGGCACAGUGGGUUAAGAAUCCAACCACAGUGGCUUGGUUACUUUUAAUCCUAGCCCAGCACAGUGGGUUAAGGUAUCUGGCAUUGCUGCAGCUGUAGCAGUAGGCUACAGCUGUGGCUAGAAUACAAUCCCUGGCCCGGGUACUUCCAUAUGCCUCAGAGCCCAGAGCCCCUGUGUUUGGAGUUGGCUGGACUGUGGAGACUUUGGAAAGGUCCUGCUGCCAGGAGUUAAGCACGAAAUCUUGGAACUGAAUUUUACAGAAUUACUUCUGAACCAGUAUGGAACAUUUUACGAACCUACACAAAGCUUCUGAUUCCUGGAACGGCCUCGCUGUGGUGAUUUUCCUGCAUGGAUCUGGAGAUACAGAGCUUGGAUGGGCAAGAAGCCUUUGCAGGACAAUACCUGUGGCAUAUGGAAGUUCCCAGGCUAGGGGUCGACUUGGAGCUGUAGCUGCUGGCCUGCAUCACAGCCACAGCAACACCAGAUCCGAACCGCGUCUAUGAACUAUACCACAGCUCAUGGCAACGCCGGAUCCUUUAACUCAUUGAGUGAGGCCAGGGAUCAAACCUUCGUCCUCAUGGAUUCUAGCCAGAUUUGUUUCCACUGAGCCACGACUAGAACUCCCACAGUAAUGUGUUUUUGUGUGAAGAAACACAAAAGCAUUUGCUUCAUGUCACAACCCACCCUAUAGCUAUAUCUUCUUUUCUACUGGAUGAUCUUUUUCCCAUGAAAGUUACAUUUGAAAUGUUACAUGUGUUAUUAGAUAGCUUCUAAAUUUUCUCUACUUGAAAACUCAGUGACAUUACAUAGGAAGGCUACAAUCAUAUUUAAAUAUGAUUAGAGUUCAUUGUACAUUAAACCUGGGCAAGAAAAAUCUGAUUUUGACUUAAUAUUCUUACUGUGUAACAGAAAGUACAGAUUCUAGUCCCUUAGUGAAUCACCCCCAUUCUUUAUCAAUUGUGUUGUAGACCUAAUGAAUGACUGUAGUUUCUCUUGAGGAAAAUUAUAGCAAAAGUGUUUUUUGAGUUUUUUUACAUGUUUUCUGUUUUUGUUUUUUGGGUUUUUUUUUUUGCAAUAAAACCUAAACUUACACACUUUUGAAAAGGAUUGAAAAAUUUAGUGUUCUAGCUAACAUUUACAGGGAAAGAUAAGUUUAUUCCAGUCCCCUUGGAACUGAAUAUGAAUAUAUAGUACCGCACCCCCAGCUAGGCCAGAUCCUAUCUUUCAAGAGGAUUGGAGAUCUUUUCAUGAGAAAAAGAAACACAUGGAAGAGAGAUGUGAAUUUUACCUGCACUGGCAAAAUCUUAUAAUCCUUCUGGAAUGAUGCUGAGGGGGAAAGGCCACACACUCUUUUGGGACUACUCCCUAUAUUUACAUCAGCUUUUCUUUCUCCUAGUAUUAUAAGACAGCAAUAGGAAUAGAUCAAUAAUAUGUCUAAAUCGAUGUAAUAAGAGCUGUAUUAAAUAAAGUUCUGUUGU
rnacentral:lncRNA from 1 species